AUUGAACGCUGGCGGCAGGCCUAACACAUGCAAGUCGAACGAGUGGCGGACGUGUGAGUAAUGUCUGGGAAACUGCCUGAUGGAGGGGGAUAACUCCUGGAAACGGUAGCUACUCCCGCAUACCAUCGGAUGUUCCCAGAUUGGAUUAGCUAGUAGGUGGGGUAAAGGCUCACCUAGGCGACGAUCCCUAGCUGGUCUGAGAGGAGGACCUGCGAAACUGGAACUGAGAAUCGGUCCAGACGCCUACGGGAGGCAGCAGUGGGGAAUAUUGGACAAGGGGAGAAAGCUGGAUGAAGCCAUUCCGUGUGUAUGAAGAAGGUAGUCGGGUUGUAAAGUAAUUACAGUGGGGAGGAGUUACCGGCAGCAGAAGCACCGGCUAAAUCCGCGCCAGCAGCCGCGGUAAUAC
rnacentral:rRNA from 1 species